rnacentral:lncRNA from 1 species
AAUGACUCUGCUCCAGAGUUCCACCCCUACUGCUAGUUCUGUGCUCUUUCUGCUGCUGGCCCACACCCCCAACUGACACAGUGUCUGCCUGUCGUCUGGCUGUGCUCUGCAUGGAUCCCUAAGCUGACGGGAGCGUCUGGACCCGGCAUUCUUCACCCAGUGCCCAGAAUCCCCUGCAGCUGUGCUUGAGCAUGUUUUUCUGGAUGAUGACGCAUCGUUUGCUGUUAGCAGAUUCCUAAAGGGCCUGUGAAUCAGCAGAAAUCAACAACCGAGAUCUCUCUUUUCCGGUGUCUGCCGUGAGGAAAGCACCUUGAUCUGAUUCUGAAACUCCUAUGACAGUGCAUAUAAAUGUUUGUAUAUGUUGAGUUUGAGGAUGAGCAGGAAAUCAUAGCCCCUGUCCCUGGGAAGACAGCAGCGAGGAAAUGGUUGAGGUUCCGGCCAAAGCCCUCCAGCCAGAGAAAAGGGAGGUGAGUGGUGACAUCCAUCUCUCCAGCCUCUUGCAACUCCAAGUGUGGUC